CAGCAGCCGCGGUAAUACGGAGGGAGCUAGCGUUGUUCGGAAUUACUGGGCGUAAAGCGCGCGUAGGCGGUUAUUUAAGUCAGGGGUGAAAGCCCGGUGCUCAACACCGGAACAGCCCUUGAGACUGGAUAACUUGAAUCCAGGAGAGGUGAGUGGAAUUCCGAGUGUAGAGGUGAAAUUCGUAGAUAUUCGGAAGAACACCAGUGGCGAAGGCGGCUCACUGGACUGGUAUUGACGCUGAGGUGCGAAAGCGUGGGGAGCAAACAGGAUUAGAUACCCCCGUAGUCCCUGUCUCUUAUAC
rnacentral:rRNA from 1 species